GACGAACGCUGGCGGCGUGCUUAAUACAUGCAAGUCGAACGGAAAGGCCCUGCUUUUGUGGGGUGCUCGAGUGGCGAACGGGUGAGUAACACGUGAGUAACCUGCCCUUGACUUUGGGAUAACUUCAGGAAACUGGGGCUCAUACCGGAUAGGAGCUCCUGCUGCACGGUGGGGGUUGGUAAGUUUCGGCGGUUGGGGAUGGACUCGAGGCUUAUCAGCUUGAUGGUGGGGUAGUGGCUUACCAAGGCUUUGACGGGUAGCCGGCCUGGGAGGGUGACCGGCCACAUUGGGACUGAGAUACGGCCCAGACUCCUACGGUAGGCAGCAGUGGGGAAUAUUGCGCAAUGGGCGGAAGCCUGAUGCAGCAACGCCGCGUGCGGGAUGACGGCCUUCGGGUUGUAAACCGCUUUCGCCUGUGACGAAGCGUGAGUGACGGUAAUGGGUAAAGAAGCACCGGCUAACUACGUG
rnacentral:rRNA from 1 species